UACAGAGGGCUCAAGCGUUGUUCGGAUUCAUUGGGCGUAAAGGGUGCGUAGGCGGCGCGGUAAGUCGGGUGUGAAAUCUCGGAGCUUAACUCCGAAAUUGCAUUCGAUACUGCCGUGCUCGAGGACUGGAGAGGAGACUGGAAUUCAUGGUGUAGCAGUGAAAUGCGUAGAGAUCAUGAGGAAGACCAGUGGCGAAGGCGGGUCUCUGGACAGUUCCUGACACUGAGGCACGAAGGCCAGGGGAGCAAACGGG
rnacentral:rRNA from 1 species